rnacentral:lncRNA from 1 species
UUCUGGGGGUCCUAGAUUAAUGAAGUCAUCGUAUUUGUGUUCCUUGUGUAGCUGAUGAGAGUGCAGCAGCAGCAGAGCACUGAUCUGGAGCAGCAGAAGCUGCAGGCAGUAGAGAGCGCUCUGGGCCUCAGGCUGGACCGGAUGGAGCAGAUCGCUGCCGCAGAAAUGGACCUGCAGAGGGAGCGCAAACAGUGCACUGCACUACAAGAGCAGGUGGAGAAACUAGAGCAGGAGGUGUGUGAGCGGGACUCCAGACCAGCGCUGAGGGACGUCAGGAGGCCCAGAGGAACCACAGCCGCACAAACAGGCAAAAACUGCAGGGAGUGGAAAAGGUGAUUGGCACACUGAUCCAUAAGUAGUACACUGCCAGUUUAACGGACCAUGGAGCAGCUGCAUAGGCACUAUAUCAUUAAGGGCAUUUAAAUGUUGUUCCAAACCUAACUUUGUUUUUUGUAGCAUGUUUUUUGGG